UACGGAGGGUGCAAGCGUUGUUCGGAAUUACUGGGCGUAAAGGGCGUGUAGGCGGUGUGGUAAGUCAGAUGUGAAAGCCCUGGGCUUAACCCAGGAAGUGCAUUUGAAACUGCCACGCUUGAGUAUGGGAGAGGAGAGUGGAAUUCCCAGUGUAGAGGUGAAAUUCGUAGAUAUUGGGAGGAACACCCGUGGCGAAGGCGACUCUCUGGACCAAUACUGACGCUGAGGCGCGAAAGCGUGGGGAGCAAACAGG
rnacentral:rRNA from 1 species